GUCUACUCAUCAACAGAACAUAAAAUGCACAAUGCUGUUCUUCUAAAACCUCAUUACUCUUUGUGGUCAGCCUCUCUGACAACCUAUACUAAUUUUACAUAGGGGUUCUAUUAAAAUAUACCAUGUGCCUACUUUUAAAUGCCCGAAAUCAGUUAUCUGGACUACCUACUCAUAGUUGUUCUUCAAAAUCAUACAUUCUACUAUCUAAUAUAAUUUUUCCGUUUUUUCUUAAAUCUAGCAUUUUCAAAAUAAUUUCGACAUUUAUGAUUUAUGUGUGAUGAAUGUUGUUCAUUUUACCCUGAGAUUUGGUAAUUUUACAAUGCGCUUCGUUUUUGAGUGCAUUUUAUUAUGUUUUGUUUUCAUCGGUCGCGAUUUUGGAACACAAAAAAUAAAAUGUUGCUCGGGUUCGUCGAUUUGUAAUCGUUCACCGCGAAGAAAAAUGUUAGUGUUUGGUCAACGAUCACAAAGCUGGCCGCCCUCCCGGCCAAUAUACGGAUUCGGAUGCGGUACGAUGCGAAAUCGACCAUUGAUGGGGCUACCGGAAACCAUGGGGGCUGGCGUUCAGAGUAAGACAAUUCCGGAAUUGGAUUAACAAGUUUAAAAACGACUCCGAUGACUCAGACGAUGAUUCAGGAAUACCGCAUUUUUUCAGUGGCGGCGAAUGCUGUUAUCGUCUAAAUGGUCCAAAUUUCCCUACCGUGGGAACAUUCCUUGAUGGUGAUAUUAGGGCACAAUUGGUCAAUGUUGCCGAACAUUGAAUCUCCAACAGUCGUUCCAAAGCUUUCUGGAACUGGGACAAAGUAUGCUGUUGCAACUCAUUGAAAGCGGGACGCAGGCCUGGAAAAGAGAGUCUUAUAGUUCUUCUGAUUUAAAAUUGAAAUCGCUGUCUGCGAACUAAAUGGAACAGCUACAUAUGCAGUAGGACAAACAAAAAAAACACAGGUCCAUGCUGGGCGUUCGGAUCUAAACUGACGGUUCACGGCUUGACACUAGAAACCUUAUCAGCCCUGGCAGUAGAAGGUGACACUAACAUAUUGAAGUGAAUUGUACUCUACACGAGUCCUGAAUACAUGGGCAUGUGCUGCAAUGUGAGUUGGAUACAAAACCAUCAUGCAAGCUCUGGUUCUUUAAUUGAACCGGAAUAGAAAUUAUUCAUACUUGCCCUGUUUUUUAUCAUUGAACGUGUCAAUGAUCGAGAUGGUGCAUCAAGACCCCGUGCUUGCAAAGGGACAUCAGUUCCAGGAAUGUGUUUGUCUAACUGCCGUUCUACUAUAACGGGUGGCUCAAUAAACGCAGGAGAGAUUAAAGUAGGAAUUAGGAAUGCAUCUGAUACCGGGAGUGGCAGCCGUCCUGUUGCUGGCGUCGAGAUGGUAGCUAAACAGAUGAUCGUUUUUUUUUUAUCUACAUGAUAUCUCAAUCUUCCGAAAUCCGAUCAAGUCAUAGUAGAAUGGUUCUUGAAACAUUCGGACCUGCUUCUGAAGAUUUCAAUUUUCCUAAUAAGAAAAAUCUGCACAGUACUAAUCAAAGGAUCGUCAUCUACUAACACAUAUUAUCGAAUUCGAGCAGUUUUUAUUCAGUCGAGAAAACUAACUAAUUGAAAUUUCUAUUUAAAACUUGUAUGUAUCGCUACGCUGUAGGCGAUUCACAAGUGCUGUGAAAUUAGGAUUAAGUUAAAUUUAAUUCUUGACCAAAUACAUAUAGGUGUUGUACGAUUUAAAAUUAGAUAAUUUUAAAAAAAUAUUAAAAAAAAAUGAAGUCUCAGCGGUUCUG